GACAGGACAAGAUCCAGUUUCCUUACAUACCAGAAGUCGGCCUAAAUAGUGCCCAAUUUUCUGCAUACCAUGCCCAGAGUGGUGAAGUGUUUGAUCCUCCAAAUCUCUACGGAUGGAAAAGCAAACUGAGAGCAACCUCAUCUGCUCUUGAGAAAGAGAAAGAAAAGACAGGAACUAGUCCAACAGUUGAACUGCACUGAAUAGUUUAAUGCUACCCUUUUAACAGCUGGAAAUUUUUCAUGGAAUUGUUCCAACCACUCCUCAACUUGGGAAAAAAUCAUUCAGGAACCUUCUGCCUUACAAGCAAUUCAUAACCCCUGGCAAAGUUGAAUCUAAAAAAUAUACAACGUGCCUAUGAGUCAUCCUUAAAAUACUUUUCUUCAAUAAGCUUCUGUAAUGGGGAAAAAUUAUCAUUCCACACAAGCUUCUGAGACUUGUUACCACUUUGCAGAUUGAAUAACCCUUGGAGACAAGGCAAUCUACGGGCUAGACAGCCUGGAAACAGCUUCCAGACCAAUCAGCUGCUGGGAAACAGUUUUUGGCCCAAUCACCCACCUGGAAACUGUACAUGGACCACUCGCUGUCUUCUAAGAACCACUUCUCCUAAAAUCUGCCACUGCUGCCUUGCAAACCAAACCAGAGAGAGAAAAUAUACCUGAAUUAUUUCUACACUGACCUUGUGAGUCCCAGCCCAUCUGUGCCCUUUUGACAAGUGCUUCGAACUCCAUGCCCCUCAGUGGAAUUCAUUCUGUAUUGAAUAAUUUUUUGGCCAAGCCCUAUCCUUUGUGGAAAGAGUCAAUGGCAGAGGUGUGAAUAUAGCAACAAGGAGACCUGCUGUGAGGUUUUUCAAAGAUUCCAAAUAAGCAAUGGUGGAAGCCUGAACUAGAGCCUGAGGAGUGGGAAUGGAGAGGAAGGCCAGACUGCAGCAUCGAAGAAGGGGCAGAAUCUAUUGGGCCUUGCUGACUAAUCAAGGUACCUCAAAGAAAGUUGAAAGAAGGUGAUUCAAAUUGCCAGGAAGAGUUUGGGAACAUCCACACUGCCAAUCAGUUUUGUAAAACAAAAUUUUUAAAAGGCAUAAUCUAUCCACAGAACAAGACUACGUCAGCACCACAAAUAAUCAAGGACAAAUCACACACAACGAAGGAAGUGCUCAUCACUGCUACCCGUUUUGUGCACACAAGACAGUCCCUAUCUCUCAACUAGGAACGUCAGCCACUUUAGGCUUUUGAAUGUUGGUCUUUCUCCUGUUGUCUUCUACCUACUGACUUUUCAAUCAGCUCUCCUCCUGUGGCCGGAUCCAUUUCACGGCAUAUCACUCCCACCUCAGAAGACUGGGUCACAGAAGUGAUUUCAGGACUCAUAAGUGAGCAAAGGCCUCAAGCUCAAAUAUUAGCUGAAUGACUGAAUAAUUACUAUAGGAUAGGUAUGGUCCUCUGGACAAGCAAUCUGCCUAAUAUCUCAGGGAAGGAAAGGCCACAGAACUGCAAGCUGUAAGAGAGAUUACCUACACUAACCAAAUCAGGUUCUGACUGAGGAGGGUAAGGGAGUUCAGCAAAGCGAAAGAGACCAACUACCUCCAUUUUGACCUCCAUCUGUACUUGGUAGCCUAAGUGGCAAAGAAGGUGGGAACCAAUUCCUUCUAGGGAAAAGACCUGUCCAUCCUGUUCUCUUUUCCUCUGGUAUCUCUUCAACUUCCUGUCUUCCAUGUGACCAAUUUGGUAGUAAUAUUUGGGUUUAGGGUUAAGGAGAAGUAAGGGUCAUCCUUGCCAGAGCUCCCUGCCUCAGGGUUUCGCACACAAGCCCAGCAACAAUAAAUUAAUGCAGCCCGGAUUGAAAUCUUAUCACACUAUAUCUCAGAGGUGCAAAGAAGAUGUUGGAGAUGGAACUUUAAAAUCACCAAUUAAAGUAUUUUACUUUUCCAAUUUAACAUAGUCUCCUUCCAGGUAAUAACUCCCAGUAAGAGCUGUUUCUCUCCUUUUUUCUUUUUCUCCUUAAGUAGGUGUCUGGAGGGCGGUGCUUAGGUGACCUCAUGCUUGCCCAGAGCCUUGCUCUUUGGAUCAUCACCAGCCUGUGCCGCAAGAGUGCUAGUCUGGUCUUGUCCCUGACCUGCCAGUCAGAAGGGCUGCUCUCCUGGCUCCCAGCUCUCACGGCUGGCAGGAACUUUUCUUGCAUCAUCUCCCUCCUUCCCAAAAUGAAAUUUGUCAACACCUACUUCCCAGAGCACUACUAGCAGAAUGGCCACUGGGAAAUAUAAUUUAUGGGAGAGACGAAAACACAUAUAUGCACCCCCAACAUACCCUUUGUCACUUUAUGUUGCCUCAUCAUUGUCUGUUGUCUGGUUAUCACUCUGGGAACCCUGAGGGGGAAAGAGUCUGGAAUUUGGGGUUAUCCCAAAUACUUCAUAAGGUCAAGCUCUUAACAGGUAAUUUCUAGUAUUACUUCUACAUAUGGCAUUCUUUCUCAUUAUACUCUUAUACUCUCCUCAUGUACCCCAGGAAAACGUUCAGGGAUUUUCUGUUUUGCUUGCUGCUAUAACCCCAAUGUCUAAGUAGUACAUGGCACAGAGUAGGUGUUCAAUAAAUAUUUGUGGGAUGAGUGAAGGGUUGAUCACAUC